CAGUGAUGAUGAGAACGAUGUCUCUACUGCUCCAGUACACUUAAUCUCUGGAUAUACUGCACAGAUUCAUGGACCAAAAGGGAUGGGAGUCAUUUUCCACUUUCUAUGAACUGAAGGACAUUGUAUUUAAUCUGCUGAAGCUGUUCAGACAUCAGUAACAACUUUUUUCUCUAAACCACAAGGGACUGUAUUGACCACUGUAAGAGCAUUAUGAGAACACAGAGAUGAAAUGUCCAAUGCUGCCAGAGGGAAAAUGAAGAUUGCAACAGUCAGUUUAGUCAUUGCCCAUACAGACUGCUGGAAGCCACUGUGUGCUUAUUAUGCAAUUAUGCAGAUGAAAGCAAUGGUUUUGUUCAUCAAUGUAAAAUAAAGACGAUUGUGAUCGGGUCUCCAGUCAUAAUGAAGUUGUUAUACGUUGAAGAAAUGGAUAGCAAGAAAUUCACUUUGAAAACAACUAACAUAACGUGUUUUACAUCAAGGUAUAACGGAGGAAAACAGUAAGGUUCACCUGGAUGUAACAGUGAAAUUCAAUACAUUUUCAAACUGGUGACAAAGUGAAGAAGAACCAGUAUCAUCAGAAGUGAACAUACCUCUUUAUGACUGAUCUAUGUUUGGGGCUAUUGUACUACACCUGUGACAAAAAAUGCAUAAUGUAGGUUAAUAACACAAGCAUAAUGACAGCGAAGAGCACACUGUUUAACCACAUUUACAUUGUGAAUGCAUGCUGUGCAUAUAAUGCAUAUUCUAUGUCAGCACGUAUCACCCACUGCAUGCUGUAAUUCCACUGUUGCACAGUAAAUGUGAAGCUCUGACCUUGACUAUGGAUGCUGUAUUGACGUGUAAAGAGUCUUCCCUAAUGAUUGCUGGCUGUGAUUUCUGGUUUGCUAUUGAUCUGAUGAUGCUCUGAUUCCUUACAUUUUCUGCAAAUGUUACUGUCUUGCAGUGAGACAGCUUGUGCUCAUUUAUUUGUUCCUGUUUUAUCAGUUAUAGCAUGUUGGGGACAGCAGGAGGCUUCUGAAACCUGUGCUUUCAGAAACAGCAAUUGCCAGUCCUGUCACAGUUUUACUGAGAAAUGAGAAAUAAAGAGAGCUAGGGUGAUAAACAUAUUUGUUCUGCUCAAGUAGAAUGUGAAUCAGUGAAUGUAUCAGCUAAUUUUCUCUUUGAAAAACAAAGUCUGUCUGCACUACCGUAACACGAAUAAUCCAUGCCCUUCAAAAAACAUAAUCACAUCUUUCUUACAGAUUUCAAAAAGUGUUUAUGGGAAAAGCUGAGACAGAGAGAGAGAGAGAGAGAGAGAGAGAGAGAGAGAGAGAGAGUAUUAACACACACAUAAUGACUAAGAGAUACAUACUAAACAGCAUUACAGCAAAAUGAAUAUAUCAUGAUCAUCUCCUAAACAUUCGCAAAAUCUUGCAUUUAAAGGAGUCGCUGUUGGUGCACACUUAGAAAUCACAUAAUCUGUAGUUUCUCAUGGAAACAGUGAUCAGCAGUGGAUUAUAAUAGAGGCAACUUUGGCAGCAGCCUGGGGCCCAUGACUUCAGAGGGGCCACUACAGUGAAAUAAUUCUUCUGCUAAUUUAGAAUAAUUUUAUGUUCUCUACCAAUUAAUCAUUUUGGCUGGUGUGUGUGUUAAAUAUAACAGCUGUAGCUUUAAAUAAGGUUUUUAAAAGCCACCUCAAGUACUUGCUUAUACUUGAUUUGCUGAAUCUGUUUUGUGCAUGUGCAGCAUGUGAUCCCAAGCUGUAAACAUGUGAUGCAGAGAUGCUGGGAGUAGAGCAAUGUUUACUGGAAGCCUGAACUGGUGGAGGUGGGAAGUUGGGAAUACUAAAACAGCAUAUUAGAUAAGUGAAUAAAAUGAGAUAAAUACCUCUUGA